AUCAGACUCCAAGGAGAGGCCAACAGAUGAGGGAGCCAUUUUUCUGCAAUGGAAUUAAAUGGCCAAAGCACUAAACAGCCCUCAGCGAAGCCGCCUUUUUGCCAGCCCAACCCUGGAAAGUUUGCAGUCGUGGAAGGAGCAGAAAUACCACGAGUGUAACUUACAAAGAAGGUCUUGGCCGGAGACCGGAGCCAUGUCUGUGUUAUCCCCACUGUAGACAAUCCUUGCUUCCUCUGGACAUCUGGAGCAGGCCCAAUUUGACUGAGAGCCUUCCCCCACUAAGAAGUGAAUUCUCCCCUUGGCAAACUGCAGCCAGCCAGCCUCCUGGGUCGAGAGCCAAGCCAAAAGAUGUCUGAGAGAAGAAACCUGGGGUCCUGCAAAGGUAAGUGGGUCCCAGCCCACUCUCAAUCCCCCUCUCUCUGUGUGAUUGCUAUUCCACACUGGAGUCACCUGCUCUGUGCUUCUGAGGAACCUCACCUCUGGCACAUCAAUGGAAAUUGUCCUUCCCUUUUUAUUUAUUUUUAUUUAUUUUUUAUUUUUUGCCACCCUCACUGGCCACUAAGAGAUAGCCCUAGCUCCUCCUCUCCUGCCUGGUUUUGACAGGACUCACUCCAUUGAGUCCUGUCUCGUCUCUUUGCAGCCCUCCUCCUCCCCCCCCCCCCCCUUCAGCCAGCACUUAGGCCCUCCCUGAUUUAGCCCGUUACCUUGACAACCACUUGGGCCUGUCUCCCUCAUCACCACUGAAAACCUGAAGGUGGUUUUCCAGCUGCGGUACAUUUGCCCAAGUUGGGCACCCCUCCAGCUUCUAUUGGCUCGCCCUCUAUACAGCUGUACCCAAUAUAACAAACACAACCUUCCUGGCCCCUCAGCUGUAGUCUCGAAAUUGAUCUCACUGGUCCCGGGAACUCCGUCAAUACUGCCUCCUCUAGACUGAGCUCCUCACAGGCAGGAACAUGGUUGUUUCUCAAUAAACAAGUUGCAAAAAAAGGAA
rnacentral:lncRNA from 1 species